rnacentral:rRNA from 1 species
AUUGAACGCUGGCGGCAGGCCUAACACAUGCAAGUCGAACGCGAAAGCCCCUUCGGGGGUGAGUAGAGUGGCGAACGGGUGAGUAACACGUAGGAAUCUACCCAGGAGUGGGGGACAACCCGGAGAAAUCCGGGCUAAUACCGCAUACGCCCUACGGGGUAAAGUGGGGGACCUUUCGGGGCCUCAUGCUUUUGGAUGAGCCUGCGUCGGAUUAGCUUGUUGGUGAGGUAACGGCUCACCAAGGCGACGAUCCGUAGCUGGUCUGAGAGGAUGACCAGCCACACUGGGACUGAGACACGGCCCAGACUCCUACGGGAGGCAGCAGUGGGGAAUAUUGGACAAUGGGGGCAACCCUGAUCCAGCCAUGCCGCGUGUGUGAAGAAGGCCUUCGGGUUGUAAAGCACUUUCAGUAGGGAAGAAAUGCCUAAGGUUAAUACCCUUGGGUCUUGACGGUACCUACAGAAGAAGCACCGGCUAAUUCCGUG